GAGUCGACGAAGCACCUGAGAACGAUUCUUCGGAUGAAGUCUCUUGUGACUGCGUGGCGGACGGGUGAGUAACGCGUGGGUAACCUGCCUCACACAGGGGGAUAACAGUUGGAAACGACCGCUAAUACCGCAUAAGCUGCCGGUGCCGCAUGGCACUGACGGAAAAGAUUUUAUCGGUGUGAGAUGGACCCGCGUCUGAUUAGCCAGUUGGCAGGGUAACGGCCUACCAAAGCGACGAUCAGUAGCCGGCCUGAGAGGGUGAACGGCCACAUUGGGACUGAGACACGGCCCAGACUCCUGCGGGAGGCAGCAGUGGGGAAUAUUGCACAAUGGGGGAAACCCUGAUGCAGCGACGCCGCGUGAGUGAAGAAGUAUUUCGGUAUGUAAAGCUCUAUCAGCAGGGAAGAAAAUGACGGUACCUGAUUAAGAAGCCCCGGCUAACUACGUGCCAGCAGCCGCGGUAAUACGUAGGGGGCAAGCGUUAUCCGGAUUUACUGGGUGUAAAGGGAGCGUAGACGGUGAUGCAAGUCAGAAGUGAAAGCCCGGGGCUCAACUCCGGGACUGCUUUUGAAACUGUGUGACUGGAGUGCAGGAGAGGUAAGCGGAAUUCCUGGUGUAGCGGUGAAAUGCGUAGAUAUCAGGAGGAACACCAGUGGCGAAGGCGGCUUACUGGACUGUAACUGACGUUGAGGCUCGAAAGCGUGGGGAGCAAACAGGA
rnacentral:rRNA from 1 species